rnacentral:sRNA from 1 species
CUUUGACCAGUCAGAUUUUGCUUUGAAGCUUUUGGUUUUGUUUCUGAAUGCUGAAGACAUUGUUUUUCUCCACUUUCCUUUGUUCUCCAACACCAUCACAUUAUCUUGAAUGAAAAGCGGAGAGGCAGGGUAGAAAAUCACGGCUCUGAAGGUUUUUCUGAAGCUUAUUAUGCUGUGGCGGCGACAAAGAGCCUGAGAAUUUGGAUACAUGGCUCUGCUAGCUGCUU